CCACAGUAAGCCCAAAAUUAUGGCAACCAGUUCUGCUGUGGCUGUGUACACUGAUAGAUGGUCAAGAUGUUUCUUUAUUGUUACCUGUAAUUCAGGCACAAAAAUACCCACAACCACAUUCCCUGUUAAAUUAUCUUUUGACCCAUUAGUAGAAAUGAUUAGCAUAUAAUAAAAAUUUUCUUUAACAUACUGAUGAACCUAGACUGUCAAACAUAUCAGGAUCUUAGAUUUCAUUAAAUCAUGCGCCACCUAAAAAUCAACUAAAUUCAUUGGGGGAAAAAACCAAGGUAGGGUUACUGAAAAAGCUAGUGGGACAUAUUGCAUAAUCCAGCAAACCCAUUUUCCUAGUGUGAUAAGAACCCAGCCACGCAGAACUAAAAACUCUUCUUGUAAUGUUGUGAACAGUUUGCAAAACACUUAACAGGGCGAUCAGUUCUCUGCCCCCUCAAAUUAAUCCAGUAUGUUAACAACUUCAACCUCCACAACUGUACGGGUAAUUGUCUCAUUUCAAACUGUAAAGCCAAAAUUGGAGAUGAUCUUACUGCACCAUAACACAGUCUUAAAGCCUGUGCUUGUAUCACAUCCAAGCAUUUUAAAUUGAAGAUGAAGCUGAUUCGUAAGACUUAAUCAAGCAGAGAUCUAAUUAAACAAAUAAAUGAUCAGAGAUUUUCAUGUAGCACCCCAAGAAGACUCACAUAGACAUCCAGGGAUAUUUAAUGUCCUUUUUGAUUUAUCAAUUACUUUACUGAUAUGGCACUUUCAUGCCAGUUUGUUAUCCAGCCACAUGCUGAGGAAUCUUACCACUGGCUCUUCAAGAGUUUGUCCAAACAAUUUCAAAUCAAGUGCAGGUCUAUUGAUCUUCUUUGUAAAACACGUAACUUGUAUUUUAGCUACUGAAACAUAAACACACAUAUAGUUGUCUACUGUUUGACUUUAACUGCAGUCAAAUUGAAAAUUUUACCUCUCCACUAUAAUACAUAUGCAAAAAUUGAUUACCCACCCAAGUACCCAUUUCAAAAAAAAUCAUUAAUCAUAAUAUUAACCAAUAAAGGGCUACAAAUAAUUCCUUGUGGGGUCCUAUUCUCCAUCUCAUAGAAAUCUAAAUACAUUUUUCCUACCCUUCCUGCAUUGAUGGUCCAAAUAAUAAAAAAACUAAUUUCCAUAAUGUAAUCAAAAGACCAUCACUCCAUAAAGGUAUCAGUUUUUUUUAUCAAUAUCAAAUAAUACUGCUACUCCAACUUCUUUAAUUACGCUUUCUGAAUAUCAUCUUCCAAACACAAAACUGAAUCCAAUGCCAUACCCCCUUUCUGAAAUCUGCUCUGAUAAAACACUAUCAUCUCUUUUCCAAAAUAUAAUUCAACUGCUCUAUUACUAUACCUUACACAAGUCUACACAAAUGGGAUGUUAGUGAUAUUGGUCUAUAAUUGCAAUGAUCCAGCAGGGGUUUCCCAGGUUUUAGAAUAGGAACUACUACUGCCAUUUUCCAUGAGGACGGAAGAUGGCCUAAACUCCAAAUACAAUUCAAAAUUUUUGUUAUCCCAAUGGAACUGUCAGCCACAAGUUUAAACAUACAAUAACAUAUACUUUUAUCAUCCUUUCCUGGAGCUGUCUGGCCUGUAACAUUAAGCGUUUUCUCCUGCCUUCUCCCCAUAACCUUUCAAGGCCUCACUUAUUAAGAAUCCAUCAACUUCCAAUUUAAAAAUACCCAAUGACCUGGUCUCGACUGCUGCCUGUGGCAACUAGAUCUACAGGUUCAUUACUAACUGAAUAAAGAAAUUCCUCCUCCUCCCCUUUCUAAAAGGAUGCCCCUUUAUUCUGGAGCUGCGCCCCACUGAAGGAAAUCACCAUUCAAUUGAUUUCAAGGAGAUUCCCCGUCAUUCUUCUGAAUUCCAGCGAGUACAGGCACAGAGCCACCGAACAUUUUUCAUAUGAUAAACCUUUCAAUCCUUGAACCAUUCUCGUAAAUACCCUUAGUGAUUCCACACCUGGAAUAUUGCACAUAGUUCCAGUCUCACAGCUACAGAAAGGAUGUUGUUAAGUUGGAAAGGAUGCAGAAAAGAUUCGUACCAGGACUGGCGAGCUUGAGUUAUAAAGGAAAGCCGGAUACGCUGCAACUGUGUAAAAGGAGUGGGUUCUGACCAAAGCGAAAAAACGGCUGAAGUCGCUUUGCACUUCAGUGUGUCAAAAAUUAAGCUUACAAAAAUUAGCGAAAACUGCCAAUAUUUACAAUAAGAUAUCUACCAUGACACAAUAAAUAAUUCCAUACUAUUUGUCCAGUGUGAACUCAUCGCAGCUCGAUCUCUGACAGCAAAGAUCCCUGUCAAUUAUGCACAGUUAAAGGAAGACUGCACACGAUUUAGACGCUGCACGCCACAAUCAUAUUACAAAAUAAACAAAAGUAUCGACGUUACAUACAGCACACAAGCAAUAUAUACACAUUUGCACAUCUGAUUACUAAAGAAAAAGAAUAUUCCCCUGUGUAUGGCGGGGAAGUACCAUAAAACCAAGACCUUAUAAAAAUGACAGCAGAACUGCAAGAAUGUGUGUGUGCGCGUGCACCAAGUGUUCUCCGUUUCCGUCAUAGCUUAUUUUCCUUUGAACGCAGGACGCUCAGGGUGAUCGUAUAUAAUAUUAUUAAGUGUGGAAGUGUUGCUAUUUCAGGCCGAGGCCUGAGUUGCUCCAGCAUUUUGUGUUAGUUGCUCCCAACAGCGCAGAGAUUCACAUUUCACCGUCAGUGACCCAUCGAUCAACUGCGCAGGCGUAAGGGGUGCGGAAAGGUCCCAGAAUUGCGCAUGCGCAGGACUCAGCGGACAAACGGCCCUGGUGAAUCGGCCGCAGGCGGGCUGCGGCUUGGGGAUCCGUCAGUAUUGGUGUCGGCACCGCGGCGAAGGGAAAACUCCUCAACCAGAUUCCAACCAUCACGGAUGAGGAGGACCCCACAGACACGUGGAGAUCGGGACCACAAAGAACACCUGUCCAGCGAAGACUUCUUUACUGGAUCACUUUUGUUGGACAUCAUCUGGUUCUGGAUUCUUCUGCAAGUAUAAUUAAAGGCGAAUGUGAUCAGAGUAAACCCAUCUCGUGCCCAGUGACCAUGGUCCAACUCCCGGUGUGAUGAACAACAGCAAAAACUGUACAAUCUGACAACAACAGUCACUACUCAACUUGCAACUGGAUUCAAGAGCUAUGAAGGUUAAAAUUCUAACACACAGCCUAUUUGAACUUCCUCCCUGAUGUGAACCUGCUGGUGCUUGAGCUGGUGGGAUGACUGAGUAAACCCCUUUGCUCACAUAGGAUCAGAGAGCACUCACUAUUGCCUCACAAUGUUGGAGAACUGAAUGAAUUCUUUCUCACAGUCUCAGCCACUGAAUGGCCUCUUCCCAGUAAAUCCAAGAAACACAGUGCAAUCAGUGGAAGACCACACCCAACAGGAUGGAACAGCAGCUAAUGUGCAGAACACAGUAAACUGCAAAUAAAAAAUAAGAGAGAAUAAUAUUUUUUUUUUAAAAAAAGCAAUAAUUACUGAGAAAAUGAGAUGAAGAAUCCUUGAAAUGGAGUCCGUAAGUUUUGGGAAGUUCAGUGUUGGAGCAAGUGAAAUUGACUAAAGUUAUCCUUUCUGGUUCAGGAGCCUGGUGGUUUAUGGUGACAGGAAAUUCCCUCAUGGAUAAAGAGCAGUUGAACAGCUGGUGUGAACUCUCUGAUGUGUUAGUCACUCAGAUGAAUGAAUCCCAUCCCACAUAUGGAGCAGAUGAAUGGCCUCUCUCCAGUGUGAAUUUUCUAAUGUGUCUUCAGUUGCACAACUGAAUGAAUUUCAUCCUACAGUCAGAACAUGUGUACUGUCUCUGUGCUGUGAACUCCCUGAUAUAUCUUCAGACUAAGUGACUGCAUUUACCCCAUCCUACACACCUAGCAAAGGAAUAGCCUCUCUACAGUGUGAAUUCACUGGGGUUUUGCAGUUUGGAAGUGUGAAAAUAUUCCUUCCCACACAUAGAGCAGGUGAACGACCUUUCCCCACUGUGAUCUCGCUGGUGUGUCUGCAGUCUAGAUGAACAACUGAAUCCCUUCACACUCAGAAGAAGUGAAUGAUUUCUCCUUGCUCUGAAUUCUCUGAUGUCUCAUCAGGUCAGAUGAUGUAGUGAAUCCCUCUCACAAUUCAAGCAGUUGACCAUCUAAUCUCCAGUGAAGCUUCUCAGGGCCUGGAAUCCGAUGGAUUUCAAAGAGAAGCUGAAACAGAAUCCCCAGGGCACAUUUAACAAGUGUUUUGAGUCAUUGUUUGCUUGUGAAUAAAAGUUGCAAAGAUACAUACACUAGGAUGCUCUUUAUCAAUUACAGCUUGGCAUUUAACACAAUCAUCCACCCAAAACUAAUCAGUAAACCUCAAGACCUGGACCUCAAUACCCAUUUAUGCAAUUUUUUUUUAAUUAAUUUUUUAUACAUUUUCUACAUAGCUACAGAUAAAAAAACCCAGAUCAAAAUGAAGAACAUUGAUACAGUGCAAAAAUAAACAUACAAUAACAAUAUGAUACAAAGAAAGAUAAUUGAAAAAGCACCCAAAUUGAAGACAAGUAAAAUUAGCAUCCUCCCCAAGCCCUGCAACAGAAAAAAAAACUCCAGACCAACCACAACACAAUAUAGAGAAUAUAAAUCAGGACUAUCAAACCCCCAAAGCUGUAAAUACACUUAGCAACAGAAUAUAUUAAUGCCUACUACCAAAAGAAAAAGGAGCUGAAAACAAGGGACCGACAAAAAAACCUCAGUUAAGAGGAAGGUUAUGAAAGUACUCGAUAAAAGGUCCCCAGACCUUAUGGAACUUUAAAUCCAAAUUAAGAACUGAAUAAUGAAUUUUUUCAUGAUCUAAGCAGGCCAUAAUAUCAUUAAGCCAUUGAGCAUGCGUGGGCGGGGCAACAUCUCUCCAUCUAAGGAGGAUUAAACGUCUCGCCAGGAGAGAGGCAAAAGAUAAUAUUCGACACUUAGUUGAACUCAGACGUAAAUCUGUCUCACCCCAGAAACCGAACAAAGCAAUUAAAGGGUUCGGUUCUAGGUGGUGAUUCAGAAUAUACGAUAACGUUAUGAAGACAUCUUUCCAAAAUUUCUCCAAGCUAGGACAAAACCUGAAUGAGAGAGGCCUCACCCCUCUUGCAUUUAUCACAAAGCGGACUAAUGUUAGGGUAAAAUCGAGAUAAUUUAGAUUUAGACAUACGGGCUCUAUGAACAAACUUAAACUGUAAAAGGCAAUGGCGAGCACAAAGAGAGGUUGAAUUAACCGAUUUGAGAAUCGAGCCCCAAGUCUCAUCGGAGAAGGAGGUAUUUAAAUCCUGCUCCAUUUAUGCAAUUUGAUCCUGUAUUUCCUCACCUGUACAACCCCAUUCAGCUCAGAUUGGCAAAAACAUCUUCAUGAUCUCCAUCAGCACAGGAUCAAUGCAGGGAUGUGUACUUAGCCCCCUGUUCUACUCAUUUUCACCUAUGUCUGUGUGGCUAAGUACAGCUCCAACACCAUAUACAAAUUGCAAACGACAACACUGUUGUGGGUUGUAUCAAAGGAGCUGAUGAAUCAGCAUACAGAAGGAGACUGAAAACUUGGCUGAGUGGUGUAAUAACAACAACCUCUACUCAAGGCCAAUAAAGACCAAGGAACUGAUUGUAGACUUCAAGAGUGGGAAACCAUAGAUUCAUCAGCCAGUAAUCAUUGCAGGAUGAAAGAUGGAGAGGGUCAGUAAUUUUUAAUUCCUGGGUGUCACUAUCUCAGAAGACCUGCCCAGGACUCGUCAUAUAAAUAUUAUUGCAAGAAAAGCACAACAGUGCCUCUGCUUCCUCAGGAGUUUGAGGAGGCUUGGCAUGUCAUCAUGAACCUAGUCAAAUUUCUUUAGAUGUGUACUGACUGGCGGCAUUAUGGCCUGGAAUGGGAACACCAAUGCCUUUGAGUGGAAAAUCCUACAAAAGGUAAUGGAUUUGGCCCAGUACAUCACAGGUAAAGCCCUUCCAACCAUUGAGCACAUCUACAUGAGAUGUUGCCAUAGAAAAGCAGCAUCCAUCAUCAUCUAGCCCUAUUACCAAGGCUAUGCUCUUUUCUCACUGUCAUAAGGGGAGGUGAGACUGGACCCAAAUGCAGGACACAGGCACUGAAGUACUAGGGGCAGGACGGAACAAGCUAAAGGAUAGGACGAGGUGUGGAGACCGUGGCGUUUGUGGAGAUCCUGGAGUUCAGAGAUGAUCUUGGAGUUCAGAGAGAUCUUGGGGUCCAAGGUGGUCUCAAGGCAUGGCUAGAGGCAGGGGUCUCAAGGGCUUGGCUAGAGGCAUUGGUCUCGAGGGCUUCACUAGAGGCUGGUGUCUAGAGGCUUGAGUCUUGAGGCUUGCUUGAGGCUGAGGUCUUGAGGCUUGGCUUGAGGAUGGGUUCUUGAGGUUGGUUUCUUGAGGCUUGGCUAGAGGCAGGGGUCUCGAGGGCUUGGCGAGAGGCAUUGGUCUCGAGGGCUUCGCUAGAGGCUGGUGUCUAGAGUCUUGAGGCUGAGGUCUUGAGGCUUGGCUUGAGGAUGGGUUCAUGGGACUAGGAAUGCUGGGAGCAUAGCUCCCUGGGCGGGCCACAGAACUCUUGGGCAGGACCUGGACCACCCAGGCAGGACACAGGGGUUUGGGCAGGUCGUGGGGCUCCUGGGCAGGUCGUGGGACCCAACCCGUUGGAGGCGAUGGAUAGAAAGGGGCAGAGUCCUCUGGGCAGGCCACAGAACUCUUGGACAGGACCGGGACCUCCCAGGCAGGGCACAGUGGCCUGGGCAGGUCGUGGGGCACAACCCAUUGGAGGCAAGGUAUAGGAAGAGGCAGAGCUCUCCGCUGGGCAACAGCAAUCUGGCCUGGCUUACCCGACGGAGGCAAAGGAUAGGAAGGGAGCUAGGUCCAGGGUGACUUCAAGACUCACUGCGGCCGGAAGACUCGGGUGGGCUACAGAGCAGCCCAGUCCAUAACUCACUCACAGAACUCGUCGCUAACGGUGGUGCUACAAGCCCAGAUGGACAGGACAACCCCCAACUAUACUCAAGCCCAGAGUCCCUUAUGUUCACAGCCAACUGAUAGGCAUCAGAUGUGCCUCCUUGAGCCCGACCAAGCUAAGAUGAUCCUCAGGUGUGACUAUUUGAGUUCAAGGCGAAACGAGGGGUGGUCAAAGGACCCGGAGUCCGCGGAACUGAUCAAGAACCGGAAUGCGGACUUCAGACCCAACCCUUACACUCACUGCUGCCAUCACGUAGAAGGUACAAGAUUCAACAAUACCGCAUUUAACUAGGAAAGAUUGAAUAAAUAAAGGUGAUUUGUUAAGGAUAGCUGGUUUGGAAGAUUACCUAUCUAAAACUGGAUCUAAUCAGCAAUCAAAGUCUCCUCCAAAAACUAAUGAAUAAAGACUCAAAUCUGGCAAGAGUGAAAAAAAACACUGAAAUAAUCAUGGGUCAUUAUAUUUGGGGAAUAAAGAUUAGUGAAUACUAUUAAUUUAUUAGCCGAUUAAUAUCAGGCACUACUUUACGUUGAACAAAAGGAACAGUAUUAUCUAUAAAGAUUGAAACCCCUCUAGAUUUAGCUCGUUGAACAAAAGGAACAGUAUUAUCUAUAAAGAUUGAAACCCCUCUAGAUUUAGCUCGAAAAGAGGGAUGAAAAGGCGUGGAUUGUCACAUUUGUGACAUUGUCACGUUUACAUACAUGAGUUUCUUGUAAAAAUACAAUUGGGACCUUAAGUUUUUCAUAUAGGCAAAAAUCUUAUUCUGUUUCACAGGGUGAUUUAACCUUUUCACAUUAAAACUAAGUAAAUUAAUAAUUUGAUCCAUUUUUAGUACUAUUUAAAAGAAAGGUUAGGAUCAUGACCAUACUGGAAUGUAUACCAAAACCAGGCAACGAACCUUGAGAUAAGGUAACCAAGCAACAGAUUUGGCUGUGAACCCAACUCAACUUCCAGAAAAAGAGCUUUUUUCCCCUCCCUCCUCCCAAAGCCAGAAAGCCGACCAAUAGAGAGCUGGCAGCUACUACUAAUAACGUCAUCCCCCCCAAAAAAUCCUGCUAUUCUAGCUCCAAUCUAUAUCAAGAUUAGCUGCAUUCCAACCGAGACAAAGCAACUGAGAAAAAAACUUAAACCUCAUACGAAAAACACACAGAGAUUAAUUAUUGGAAUUUCAAAAUAAUAAAAAAUACAUACCCAUACUAAGCCUUAUUAAUAGAGAAAAACAUCAAAAAUGUAUAUAAAAUAUCAAAAAAAAUCAAAAUGCAUGAACACUAAAGUGAUUAGGUAUCAAGGUAUUCAUGCUCAAGGUAUGAAUUCCCAAUUAAGAACAAGAUUUUAGUUCUGUCUGGAAGUUCAAUCAAUUCCAUUCCUGGAGUCUUUUCCCCACUGAAUUCAUACACACCCUUUGACACAACUUUAAACUCCCAGUGCAUGUGUACCCGAUUCACAGUGAUAGUAAGUUCUGGAGUUCAGAGAUUUCUGGGUAAGAACAGAGCCAUUGAAAGUGUUCACAAGAAUUGCCCUCACUCUGCCAAAUGGCACCAAUCAAUGUUAUGAGAACUCAGUAGCCAGUUUAACCCAACAAGCACUGUACUCAAUGUCAACAGGCAUUGUGUCAACAGUCAACCCAAUUUUUUUCUGUCAAUCAGCUUCCAAAUGUUGCUCUUUAUUCAUUGCCACGCACCCCCUGCUUUAUUUCCCUACUCCCUAUCAUAUGCUCUAUCAUAUGCUCCCUAUCAUAUCAGAGCUCUGCCCUGUGCUGACUGACCAGUCUGCUCUGUUAAACAUCCAACAAAUGGCUCUCCAUUCUGCUUUCAGACUUUAGAGGAUAGUGGCAUAUUUUAACAAAUAAGCUGUGUGAGAUACAGUCCUUUGGAAGCAGGUACAAUGAUCCAAACCAUUUAAAUGAGCAGGGAAUAAUGAGAGUGUUAUAUGGCUAUCCCCUUGUAAUAAUGAUCAGAGAGGGGGAGAGAGAAUCUGUAUUUCCCAACAAGUAACCUUUAUUGUCUCAACUAAAAAGCACGUGGGCUCACAAACCAAUUAACUGUGUGCACACCCACCAGAAUUCCCCAAUCCCCCAUGAACAGUCAAUGAAGAGAAAAGGUAUUACACAGGAAAGGAGAAUACGCUGACCAGGCGUUUCUUGUGGACCCAACCUCCAUGUAUCUGUGGGAUCUUCCUCAUCCAUGAUGGUUGGUCUCUGGUUGCUGGAGUGUUAUUGCUGUUAUACAUUUGGAUCUUCAGACUCUUAUCAUGUUCAUCAUCAGUUAGCUGAUGGAUCUUAUCCCCAUUGCUCAAGAUCACCAAACCUACCUGGUUCAUCUUCUUACUAGCUCUAGUCCAGGGCUACAACCAAUGUUGUUCCAUGGGUUCAGCCCCCCGCCUCCCCAGCCUUCUGUAUAUGUGCCUUUCAACCCAAUGAGAUUACAGAUUGCUUCUUUGGCAGGUCUGGCACUUUACAUAAUAACUAGCUACUCAUCUGAGAAUGGUCUCAGGUUUAGCAGGUCAUUAUCUAAAGCUCCUUGUGUCCACAUACAAUUGCUCUGGUUAGAUUACCCUUACCCCAGAGCAAGAAUCAGUUCAGAGUUCACAAAAUGGGGGAAACAAAGACCAUAGGUUCGUCUGCUUCCCCUGUUCUUGAUUCAUCUGAAUCCACUGAUUUGUAGAUUGCUGUUCCUUCUGGCCAAGAUCACCCUGCUGUUGAUGCAAAGAUAUUUACUUUAGGAUCCUUUCCUUCUCUCAUUCAGUUGACUGCCAUGGAACCCCAGUAGGUGUGUAACAUUUACAUUCUAUAAAUAAUACUAACAUUUACUUACUAAAUUUACACACCAUACUGACAAGACUUUACUGUUUCAUGAAAAUAUUAUCCUCUAGAUUUUGCAUUAUUUCAGCCUUCACCUUCUCAGCUGAUAUUCAUUAAGAAUUACAAUAAUCAGUGUACAUACAAUUUGUAUUACAGCAACAUGCAAUACUAUUCUUACCCACAGAAAUAUUUGAACAUUUGUUCCCCAGUUCCAAAAGUUACUCCAAAAGCCUGGGUCACACAAUAUUUCUUUCGCCUUACCAGCAUGUGUCUUAAUUACUUUAGUGUGUUUAGUUCAUUGAUGGAUCAUCUCCCUUGCCCCCUCCACAACACUUGUCCAGUCUGCAGUGAAGUGAGGAAUUGGUGGCAAUUCAGUAGUAACAUAGUCUCACAGAUAUUGAUCUGCAUCAGAGCAUUGGAUCUUGAAGUUCUCCUUCAUUACUUUCUCCUGCUGGCUGCGGCAAAGUUGGUCCUCCAAUGGCCAGAUCCAAUGCUGCAUUCCCAAUGGCAACAUUCAGACUUUCCAAAGGGCAUGCUUCCAUCACUUUGUAUAACUUGCGUCUACUGUUGC